rnacentral:rRNA from 1 species
ACCAAAGCCGGGGCAACCUGGCGCUUUUGGAGGAGCUCGUGGCCUAUCAGCUAGUUGGUGAGGUAACGGCUUACCAAGGCAACGACGGGUAGCUGGUCUGAGAGGACGACCAGCCACACUGGAACUGAGAUACGGUCCAGACACCUACGGGUGGCAGCAGUCGAGAAUUUUUCUCAAUGGGGGAAACCCUGAAGGAGCGACGCCGCGUGGAGGAUGAAUGCUUUCGGGUUGUAAACUCCUGUCAUUUGGGAACAAGGCCUUACGUUAACUGCGUGGAGGAUUGAUAGUACCAGAAGAGGAAGAGACGGCUAACUCUGUGCCAGCAGCCGCGGUAAUACAGAGGUCUCGAGCGUUGUUCGGAUUCAUUGGGCGUAAAGGGCGCGUAGGCGGCGGGGUAAGUCUGGUGUGAAAUCUAGGAGCUCAACUCCUAAACUGCACUGGAUACUGCUCUGCUAGAGGACUGGAGAGGAGACUGGAAUUCACGGUGUAGCAGUGAAAUGCGUAGAUAUCGUGAGGAAGACCAGUGGCGAAGGCGGGUCUCUGGACAGUUCCUGACGCUGAGGCGCGAAGGCCAGGGGAGCAAACGGGAUUAGAUACCCCGGUAGUCCUGGCAGUAAACGGUGCACGUUUGGUGUGCGCGGAUUCGACCCC